CCUGGUGGUUAUGGCGGGGUGGCUGCACCCGUUCCCAUUCCGAACACGGCCGUGAAACGCCCCUGCGCCCAUGGUACUUCGUCUUAAGACG
rnacentral:rRNA from 1 species